GACGAACGCUGGCGGCGUGCUUAACACAUGCAAGUCGAACGGAAAGGCCCCUUUGGGGGUCCUCGAGUGGCGAACGGGUGAGUAACACGUGAGUAACCUGCCCUUGACUUCGGGAUAACUUCAGGAAACUGGGGCUAAUACCGGAUAGGAAUCCUUGCUGCAUGGUGGGGGUUGGAAAGCUUCGGCGGUUUUGGAUGGACUCGCGGCUUAUCAGCUUGUUGGUGGGGUAGUGGCUUACCAAGGCUUUGACGGGUAGCCGGCCUGAGAGGGCGACCGGCCACAUUGGGACUGAGAUACGGCCCAGACUCCUACGGGAGGCAGCAGUGGGGAAGAUUGCACAAGGGGCGGAAGCCUGAUGCAGCAACGCCGCGGGCGGGAGGACGGCCUUCGGGUUGUAAACCGCUUUCAGCAGGGGCGAAGCUUGUGGUGACGGUACCUGCAGAAGAAGCACCGGCUAACUACGUG
rnacentral:rRNA from 1 species